UAGGGAAUCUUCCACAAUGGGCGCAAGCCUGAUGGAGCAACGCCGCGUGAGUGAAGAAGGUCUUCGGAUCGUAAAACUCUGUUGUUAGAGGAGAACAUGCAGGGGAGUAACUGUUCUUGUAUUGACGGUAUCUAACCAGAAAGCCACGGCUAACUACGUGCCAG
rnacentral:rRNA from 1 species